CCUAGGGGAGACUGCAGUGGGGAAUAUUGCACAAUGGGGGAAACCCUGAUGCAGCGACGCCGCGUGAGUGAAGAAGUAAUUAGUUAUGUAAAGCUCUAUCAGCAGGGAAGAAAAUGACGGUACCUGAGUAAGAAGCCCCGGCUAACUACGUGCAAGCAGCCGCGGGAAUACGGAGGGGGCAAGCGUUAACCGGAUUUACUGGGUGUAAAGGGAGCGUAGACGGAAGUGCAAGUCUGGAGGGAAAGGCGGGGGCUCAACCCCCGGACUGCUGUUGAAACUGUACGGCUGGAGUGCAGGAGAGGUAAGUGGAAUUCCUGGUGUAGCGGUGAAAUGCGUAGAUAUUAGGCGGAACACCAGUGGCGAAGGCGGCUUACUGGACUGUAACUGACGUUGAGGCUCGAAAGCGUGGGGAGCAAACAGGAUUAGAUACCCCUGUAGUC
rnacentral:rRNA from 1 species